rnacentral:lncRNA from 1 species
CUUACACCCCAUCUGCUCAGGGCUGGGCUUCCUUGAAACAGUGUGAACUGCGUCUGUGAGGUGUGUUCGAGCAGGAACUGCCAGCUGUGAGUUAUUUUUGGGUCUCUGGCUGCCACAAGUCCUGCCAACUAAACUGAAGUCGGUCAGACACAUGUCACUGAAAAUAUGCUCAUUACUUUAAUGAGAAUCAUUUGGCAUUCCUCAAGUGUGGGCCUGGUUCUGCUUUGGAGAGAGGGUCAAGGGCAUUUUACUAUAAUCCUCCUUCUUUUGUAGACCACUGGCUCAGUUUGAGUGGAAAUUCUUUUCUUCUUUAGUAAAUAGCAAAAAAAGUUUGGAGACACAACUGCUGACUUUUGUGUAGCAUAAGGAAAUGAAUGUUAUUGUGACAUUCACACCAAGGGAAGGCCAAACCUCUAGUGGCUUUAAAAAGAGAACAUAUGUUUUAAAAUAAGAUGUUAAAUGUGUUAUGGUUGCAUAGCUUUCAAUACAAAACUAGUGCCUGAAAUUAGUUCAAACCAGAGUAUGUAUAAUCCUUCAAAUGGUAUCUUGAGAGGCUGAGUAGCAGAUUUUAGUUCUGGGACUUCACAUAUGCAAAUAUAGAUUGGGCUGAAAUUCAUCUAGGUAUUGUGCUUGUUGGCUUACUUACUUAAUAUCAGUAAUGUUCACAUAACUUUGCAAGGUAGGGAUUGUUAUUGCCAUUUUACAGAUGAAGAGACGGAGGCUCAGGUGUGGCAAAAACGUGCAAUUUAGGGCUGGGGUUGUGGCUCAGCGGUAGAGUGCUCGCCUGGCAUGUGUGAGACCCUAGGUUCGAUCCUCAGCACCACAUAAAAAUAAGUAAGUGAAAUAAAGGUAUAGUGUCCAACUACAACUAAUAUAUAUAUAU